rnacentral:rRNA from 1 species
AGCUCUAAUAGCGUAUAUUUAAGUUGUUGCAGUUAAAAAGCUCGUAGUUGGAUUUUGGGAUGGGGCGACCGGUCCGCCGUUCCGGUGUGCACUGGUGGCCUCUUCCUUUUGGCCGGGGACUGCGUCUGGCCUUGAUUGGCUGGGCGUAGGAGUCGGCAUGGUUACUUUGAGUAAAUUAGAGUGUUCAAAGCAAGCUUGUGCUCUGCAUACUUUAGCAUGGAAUAACAUGAUAGGACUCUGGUUCUAUUUUGUUGGUUUUCGGAACCGGAGUAAUGAUUAAGAGGGACAGUCGGGGGCAUCCGUAUUUCAUUGUCAGAGGUGAAAUUCUUGGAUUUAUGAAAGACGAACUUCUGCGAAAGCAUUUGCCAAGGAUGUUUUCAUUAAUCAAGAACGAAAGUAC